rnacentral:rRNA from 1 species
GACGAACGCUGGCGGCGUGCUUAACACAUGCAAGUCGAACGGAAAGGCCCUGCUUUUGUGGGGUGCUCGAGUGGCGAACGGGUGAGUAACACGUGAGUAACCUGCCCUUGACUUUGGGAUAACUUCAGGAAACUGGGGCUAAUACCGGAUAGGAGCUCCUGCUGCAUGGUGGGGGUUGGAAAGUUUCGGCGGUUGGGGAUGGACUCGCGGCUUAUCAGCUUGUUGGUGGGGUAGUGGCUUACCAAGGCUUUGACGGGUAGCCGGCCUGAGAGGGUGACCGGCCACAUUGGGACUGGGAUACGGCCCAGACUCCUACGGGAGGCAGCAGUGGAGAAUAUUGCACAAUGGGCGGAAGCCUGAUGCAGCAACGCCGCGUGCGGGAUGACGGCCUUCGGGUUGUAAACCGCUUUCGCCUGUGACGAAGCGUGAGUGACGGUAAUGGGUAAAGAAGCACCGGCUAACUACGUG